UCGUAGGUUCCCGUCUGGAAUAGACAAACCAAACCUCGCUAGCUUCCACAUUUAUUCAUCUUGAAAUUGGCAUUUGCCUUCAACAGAAAUAUUAUUGCCCUCAUCAAGCAUACAAUCAAAGUUCUUAAAAACAAAACAAAACAAAAACAACUCACAACAGUUGUAAUGUAAUAACCGGGCUUAGGCCCAGCCCCAUUGUUUUGGUCGGAUGUGCGAAACCCAGCCCAUGAACUGGUUGAGUGAAGAACGGUGUCGUUUUGGGGAGGGAUUUAAUUCCCUUCAUGCCGUGCACUGUUUCUCUUCUUCCUCCACUGCGUUCCUUCAUUCUGCUUUUGGUCUGCAUUUCCGUGAUUUCCUCCAUUCCAGUGCAACUGCUUCCCACGCCCCACGAUCUCUACUUUCGGUUCCGCACAUGAAGAGCCUUCCUCACCACAUUUUCGAACCACUCAAACUCUCUAUCUUGCGCGGACUGGUAUUUCAUCCUUAGCCGACACAUCCGUUUCCGUGGGUCUCGAGUUUUUUGAUUCUUCGAAGCAUAUUGUGGGUACCAAAAAUCUAAGUGUCGUGGUUGGGUUUUCCCUCUUUGAGUUCUUGAAUUUAAUUUUUGUGGCCAUUCGAAGUGGUUGAAGUUUGUAUUUUCUGUUGGGGU